CUCGUAGGCGGUUCGUCGCGUCCGGUGUGAAAGUCCAUCGCUUAACGGUGGAUCUGCGCCGGGUACGGGCGGGCUGGAGUGCGGUAGGGGAGACUGGAAUUCCCGGUGUAACGGUGGAAUGUGUAGAUAUCGGGAAGAACACCAAUGACGAAGGCAGGUCUCUGGGCCGUUACUGACGCUGAGGAGCGAAAGCGUGGGGAGCGAACA
rnacentral:rRNA from 1 species